GAGAGUCCCCUAUCAGAAAGCCUUUGAUGAGAGUAGACUUUCUUUUUAGAUUUUCUAAGGAGAUUCAAUCCUUAAAUAGAUGCCAACUCUAGAUCGAUAGGAGACUGACCCUGGCUCAGAGCCUUGCAGUAAUAGAUUGGUGUGAGAGGAAGAGCAUUGCCCUUGUUGAAAAGGAAAGAGAAAAUGAUAAGGAUGAUAGUGCACAAUAACUCUGCCACUUUAUGCUGCC
rnacentral:lncRNA from 1 species